UUACAUUUAUUCAUAUACAUAUUUACUUAUAUAUACAUAUUUACUGAUAAAACUAUUUUGCCCUGGUUGUAAAUGGCUGCCAGCGUCAUUGAUAAGAAGAAGUCGGGUAUCUAGUUAUUAUACAUAUCUGUGCAUACAACAUUAUUUUUGUGGUGACACUGCGGAUUAUUGUUAUUUACUGUAGUGAUAGUAUAGCAGCAAUGAUAUGGACUGGUCAUUUUUAAAUUUUUUCCAGUUUGCUUUUCUCCAAACGUCCAAACUCAAGAGCCAGAGUUCAAAAUUUUUGAUUUUUAUUUUUAUUUCAGUUAUUUAACAUUUAUUGGUGUAUUAUUUUGGUCGAAAUAAUGAAAAAUAUUUUGGUAAAAAUCAGUAGUUGAUAAAAAUUAUUGUGAUUUGUGACGCCAUAAAGCCGACGAGCGAGCAGCCACCCAUUGUUGUGAUGUCCUUUAUAUAUAAUAUAUUAAAGUAGUAACGGUUAAAAGCGUAUAUGAUGUUUACCCGUUUCAGCAUGUUGCAACUUACAACUAUCAGGAACCCUGGCUGCUUUCCCGGGAUUGCAGUGAGUGUCCAAACCCAGAGUUUGUUGUGUCCGUGAAAGGGCGGUUGCGGCAAGACCAGUAUGGUGGUACUGAAAAUUGUGACUACUAUACUUUGUUCCUUCUUAGAACGAGCCACUCGGCUGACCAAAACAUGUUUUUUUCCGUGCAUCUUAACACAACGGUGAAAGUGUUAAAACAGGCGCCCAACGACAGCCGGCGAUGACUGUCCGCCAAUCACAAAAAUCAUAGCCAUCGCAUGGGUGGUCAGGCACUGUUCGGCAGCUUAGUCUGCAUGUGCUAAAGCGAUUCACUCUUAGAUGCUUAGAUGAAACCAGUGUUUGGAAGGAACGGAUUUCUGGAACGAAUUUCUUUUUAAAGAACAGCACGAUGAACGAAUUCCUUUUUAUAAAAAAAGAACGAGAAAAUGAACUAGUUCUUUUUUUUAAAGAAAAAUGACAAAAUUGUUCGUUCCUUUCUAGUUCCAAUAAUUUAUACAAAUAAAGGAACUCGUUCAUUUUCCAAUGGAAAGACAAAGGAACGAAUUCCUUUUUACAAGGAACUUGACAAACGCUGGAUGGAACACAGUAUAAUAUUAUGUCUAUGCCCUAUGGAGAACCUGUUAUUUCCUGUUGGUGACUAUCCAAUCAAAGUGUCCGUACACUGGACAAUAUAUUAUGCCGGGAAGCCAGGAAAUAAUAAAUGAUUCUAAGCGGCAAAAUAGUUGAUGGAAAUCAAAAAUGCAACGUGGAAAAGAUUUUACAGAAAAGGAAAUAUAUUUUGCUUGAUGACUUAUUCCUUUUCAAUUCAGUGAUUGAAAACAUGAAAUGCUUAUUGAAGAAUUACCAGGGUGCAAUACGUGGUUUAACCAACAAGACAAUAUAGAAAAUGUUACUAGAGAAAAUGUUGUUCAACAUAUACAAUAUAUAGCCAUGUGUAUGCUGCUUUAUUGGCCAUCCUAAACACAAAAGAGUAUUACUGUUGACAAGGUGUAUUGUACAAUUUAAAAGAGUAUAUUAUUAUCGUUUAAAUGAAAAAUCUAAAUGUUUUGGAUCAGUAUCAUUUAUUGCUCAUUUGAUUAAACAAAUUGCACAUCAAAUAUUGGCUUUAGAGUUAUUAACUUUGUUUGUAGAGACACCUACUGAAGAUUCAAUAGAAGUAGUUGUAGCAUUUUUGAAAGAUUGUGGGAAAAAAAUGAGGAAAGUUAGUAAAAAAAAAUGAGCUCCAUUUUUGAUAUGUUCCGUAAUAUAUUACACGAUGGGAAACCCAAUAAAAAGAAUAAGAAAGUAAUUAAUGGAUAACACAAUACUUAACCAUUAAUUCAUCAUUGGAUUAUGAUAAAUGUGCUCAUAAAUUAAAGAAAAUGAAAUUGAAACCUGGUCAAGAAAUAGAAAUGCGUCAUGUUUUUGGAUUGUUGUGGUGAACCUACGAAAAGUUAAACUUAUAAAUAGUUAAUAUAAUAUUGUAAAUAAUCUAGUGUUUUUCAUUGGUACAUUUUUAUAUUUUCUCUCGACUUCAUUUAUAUUGUUUAACUGUUAUCAGAGAUGUUUUAAAUAAAUGUGUUUAUUGAACCACUGGAAUAGUUUAGAAUAUGUAAGUAAAAUUGUUUUAGUCUAUUUGAAUACUUAUUUUAUUUAUUCAAUUUAGGUAAUAAUUACCUUAGUUACCAUAGUGAAUAAUAACUAUGUUAAUUGUAAAUAUAUAAAUAAAUUGUCGAUUAUUGGUUGUUUAU
rnacentral:lncRNA from 1 species